rnacentral:rRNA from 1 species
UACGUAGGUGGCAAGCGUUGUCCGGAUUUACUGGGCGUAAAGAGCGCGCAGGCGGUCGUACAAGUCGCGUGUGAAAGCCCCCGGCUCAACUGGGGAGGGUCACGCGAUACUGUUCGACUCGAAGGCAGGAGAGGGAAGCGGAAUUCCCGGUGUAGUGGUGAAAUGCGUAGAUAUCGGGAGGAAUACCAGUGGCGAAGGCGGCUUCCUGGCCUGUUCUUGACGCUGAGGCGCGAAAGCUAGGGUAGCAAACGGG